CCUACGGGGGGCAGCAGUGAGGAAUAUUGGUCAAUGGGCGAGAGCCUGAACCAGCCAAGUCGCGUGAAGGAUGACGGCCCUACGGGUUGUAAACUUCUUUUGUCAGGGAGCAAUUGGGUCCACGCGUGGGCUUAGCGAGAGUACCUGAAGAAAAAGCAUCGGCUAACUCCGUGCCAGCAGCCGCGGUAAUACGGAGGAUGAGGGCGUUAUCCGGUUUUAUUGGGUUUAAUGGGUGCGUAGGCGGGAUAUAAGUUCUGCGGUAAAAAUUCGGGGCUCAACCCCGUCGGGCCGUUGAAACUGGUGGUCUUGAGUGGGCGAGAAGUAUGCGGAAUGCGUGGUGUAGCGGUGAAAUGCAUAGAUAUCACGCAGAACUCCGAUUGCGAAGGCAGCAUACCGGCGCCCAACUGACGCUGAAGCACGAAAGCGUGGGUAUCGAACAGGAUUAGAUACCCGGGUAGUC
rnacentral:rRNA from 1 species